GCCGGGCGCGGUGGCGCGCGCCUGUAAUCCAAGCUCCCGGGAGGCUGAGGCUGGAGGAAGGUUUGAGCUCAGGAGCUCUGAGCUGCAGCGAACCAUGUCAAUCAGGUGUCCACACUAACUUCGGUUUUGAGAUGGUGAUCCUGGGGGAGAACGGGACCACCAGGUCGUCUAAGGAGGGCGCAUCGGCCUAGGACAGGGACGGAGCAGGUCAAAGCUCUCGUUCUGCUCAGUAGUGGGAUCACGCCUGAGAACAGACGCUGCAGUGCAGCCUGAGCAACACAACCAGACCCAGUCUUUA
rnacentral:SRP_RNA from 1 species